rnacentral:pre_miRNA from 1 species
UCAAAUCACCCCGACCGGAUUCUCAGACGGGUCAAAUCAUGUGAUCCAAUAACCCCGUCUGAUAUCCCGGCCGGGGCGAGGUUU